CUAUGCGCCUUGCCAGCCCGCUCAGGUGUGCCAGCAGCCGCGGUAAUACGUAGGGGCAAGCGUUAUCCGGAUUUACUGGGUGUAAAGGGAGCGUAGACGGCAGGGCAAGUCUGGAGUGAAAGGCGGGGGCUCAACCCCCGGACUGCUCUGGAAACUGUACAGCUGGAGUGCAGGAGAGGUAAGUGGAAUUCCUAGUGUAGCGGUGAAAUGCGUAGAUAUUAGGAGGAACACCGGUGGCGAAGGCGGCCUGCUGGACUGCAACUGACGUUGAGCCCGAAAGCGUGGGGAGCAAACAGG
rnacentral:rRNA from 1 species